rnacentral:rRNA from 1 species
UACGAAGGGGGCUAGCGUUGUUCGGAAUUACUGGGCGUAAAGCGCGUGUAGGCGGUUAUCCAAGUCGGGUGUGAAAGCCUUGAGCUUAACUCAAGAAAUGCACUCGGUACUGGGUGACUAGAGGACCGGAGAGGAUAGUGGAAUUCCCAGUGUAGUGGUGAAAUACGUAGAGAUUGGGAAGAACACCAGUGGCGAAGGCGGCUAUCUGGACGGUUUCUGACGCUAAGACGCGAAAGCGUGGGGAGCAAACAG